GCGGGAGUGGCGGAAUGGCAGACGCGCGGCGCUUAGGACGCCGUGUCUUCGGACGUAGGGGUUCAAGUCCCCUCUCCCGCA
rnacentral:tRNA from 1 species